rnacentral:snRNA from 1 species
AUAUUUGCGCUUGGGGCAAUGACGCAAUUAGUGAGGUCAAACCGAGACGUGUCAAUUGCUGGUUCAAAACUAUUUCCAUUUCAUGUUGAUUAUCAGCUGAAUGCUUUGUCACUAAUGAU